rnacentral:tRNA from 1 species
GCCAUUGUGGCUCAGUGAUUAGAGCAUUGGCCUGUGAACCAAAGGAUGGGGGUUUGAUUCCCAGUCAAGGGCA